UACGUAGGGUGCGAGCGUUAAUCGGAAUUACUGGGCGUAAAGUGUGCGCAGGCGGCAGAGCAAGUCGAGUGUGAAAGCCCCGGGCUUAACUUGGGAAUUGCGCUCGAAACUACUUUGCUGGAGUGUGGCAGAGGAAGGUGGAAUUCCACGUGUAGCGGUGAAAUGCGUAGAGAUGUGGAGGAACACCAAUGGCUAAGGCAGCCUUCUGGGCCAACACUGACGCUCAUGCACGAAAGCGUGGGGAGCAAACAGG
rnacentral:rRNA from 1 species